rnacentral:lncRNA from 1 species
AUGCAUAACUACUCUGUCUUUCAGCUCUUCUUGAACCCACUGAAGGAUGAGAACCUUACUUCAUUCCGAGAGAGCUGCUUCCAUUUUCAGAAAGUUCUACAGAGAAUUACAGUUAUUCAGUGCUGUACUGCUGGGCAAGAAGAGUCUCUCUUUGCCUCUCUCAGUGCAGUUUUUCUUGACCUGUUUAGUUCCCAGAACUGCAAAUUCUGUAUGUUCCAACAGAGGAACAUCAGAUGGAAUAUCAUUCUAGAAUCACACCAGAAGCAUUUACAGGUAUCUGACAAAGGAGUUUUGAAGGAAACAGCUUCAAGCUAA